CCACAAAUUAAUGUUAGAGGCGAUGUUCUUCAGUCUCUAAUGCUAUGGGUCCUACCAUUUGAAUUGGGUAAAUAAAAGAUAAAAUAAAAUUCUACCGUCUUUUUUAUUUUACAAUGACCGUGUGUUAUCUACCCUCUCUCUCUCUCUCUCUCUCUCUCUCGGAUUGCAGAGUCUUCUAGGUCGCCAUGCCUCCACUACCUUCGUAAAACCGCCAACACCCUCCCAUAUCUGAAUCAAAACUACCCCAAACCCUAUCCUUCAUCUUCGUCCUGUUCUAGAUGAAAGCUUUUGAAUUGGAAAUUUCUCCGAGUAUUCCCAAUUGGUUUGUUCAAUUUUGCUGUUUAGGUUAAAUUUAAUGGUUCGGAGUAGAAAUUAGGUUAUGGUUUGAUGGGUUUUCUAUUGAUUGGUUGUAUGUUGCCUUUGGUUUGAAUUGCAGGUUGCAAACUUGUAUUUGUUUGCUGGGAAUCCUAAAUGAUCGAUUGGCUGAGAUUAUUGAGGAGGAAUUGAUACCAAUCAAUUACGAUAAACAAUGGCGAUGAGAAACUUCAGAACAAUUGUGCGGACCAUAGGCCCAGCUCCUGUUCUCCAAGUCCCUCUUCAAUUGGAACAUGGCUAAAGCUGGGUUUCGUAACUUAUCUUUUACUCUCAUGUUUUUUUUUGUCCAGAUCCCUAUAACUGCCAUACGGGACAUGAAAACCAAUAAAGAAGCUGCACCAUGACAAUGUCAUCAAGUUGAAAGAGAUUGUGACAUCUCCAGAUGGUAACGAGUAUAAAGGGGGCAUCUAUACUUAAUUCACACCCCAUUUUGUCCAGAUGAUACUGGAACUUGGGCUAGGGAAAAUCACUGCAACCUGAGAAUACUGAAAGAGUUCAUAUGUUCACUGGUCUUGUUUGUUGAAAGCUGCAGCUACACUGAAGUGUGAAGAAGAGUAUCUAGUUAUUUUUUGUUCUCUCUUUAUAAUGUUUUAGUUCUGGGAGUGUAAUCGCUUGAACUUAUUGUAAAUUACAAAUAAAAUCAUUAGUUUUAAUUUUGUUGUUAAUAUACAUCAUUUGUUCA